CCUACGGGUGGCAGCAGUGAGGAAUAUUGGUCAAUGGGCGGGAGUCUGAACCAGCCAAGUAGCGUGAAGGAUGACGGCCCUAGGGGUGGUAAGCUUCUUUUAUAGAGGAAUAAGAUGGGGCGCGUGUCCAGUUUUGUCUGUACCUUAUUAUUAAGGAACGGCUAACUCCGUGACAGCGGCCGCGGUAAUACGGAGGAUCCGAGCUUUAUCCGGAUUUAUUGUGUUUAAAGGGAGCGGAGGCGGGUUGUUAAGUCAGUGAUGAAAGUUUGCGGCUCAACCGUAAAAUUGCAAUGGAUACUGGCAGACUUGAGUGCAGGAGAGGUAGGCGGAAUUCGUGGUGUAGCGGUGAAAUGCUUAGAUAUCACGAAGAACUCCGAUUGCGAAGGCAGCUUACUGAACUGCCACUGACACUGAGGCUCGAAAGUGUGGGGAUCAAACAGGAUUAGAUACCCCAGUAGUC
rnacentral:rRNA from 1 species